rnacentral:rRNA from 1 species
UACGUAGGGUGCGAGCGUUAAUCGGAAUUAUUGGGCGUAAAGCGUGCGCAGGCGGCUUCGCAAGUCAGGCGUGAAAUCCCCGGGCUUAACCUGGGAAUGGCGUCUGAAACUACGGAGCUGGAGUGUGGCAGAGGGAGGUAGAAUUCCACGUGUAGCGGUGAAAUGCGUAGAUAUGUGGAGGAAUACCGAUGGCGAAGGCAGCCUCCUGGGCCAACACUGACGCUCAUGCGCGAAAGCGUGGGGAGCAAACAGG